rnacentral:rRNA from 1 species
GGGCCCGCACAAGCAGCGGAGCAUGUGGUUUAAUUCGAAGCAACGCGAAGAACCUUACCAAGGCUUGACAUCCCGAUGACCGGUGUAGAGAUACACCUUUUCUUCGGAACAUCGGUGACAGGUGGUGCAUGGUUGUCGUCAGCUCGUGUCGUGAGAUGUUGGGUUAAGUCCCGCAACGAGCGCAACCCUUGUCGAUAGUUGCCAACAGGUAAAGCUGGGAACUCUAUUGAGACUGCCGGGGAUAACUCGGAGGAAGGUGGGGACGACGUCAAAUCAUCAUGCCCCUUACGUCUUGGGCUACACACGUGCUACAAUGGUCGGUACAAAGAGCAGCGAACCUGCAAGGGCAAGCGAAUCUCAAAAAGCCGGUCCCAGUUCGGAUUGUGGGCUGCAACCCGCCCACAUGAAGUUGGAGUUGCUAGUAAUCGCGAAUCAGCAUGUCGCGGUGAAUGCGUUCCCGGGCCUU